UGGGGAAUAUUGCACAAUGGGCGGAAGCCUGAUGCAGCGACGCCGCGUGGGGGAUGAAGGCCUUCGGGUUGUAAACUCCUUUCGACAGGGACGAAGCUUUUGUGACGGUACCUGUAUAAGAAGCACCGGCCAACUACGUGCCAGCAGCCGCGGUAAUACGUAGGGUGCGAGCGUUGUCCGGAAUUACUGGGCGUAAAGAGCUCGUAGGUGGUUUGUCGCGGCGUCUGGUAAAUUCCGGGGCUUAACUCCGGGCGUGCAGGCGAUACGGGCUGACUUGAGUGCUGUAGGGGAGACUGGAAUUCCUGGUGUAGCGGUGAAAUGCGCAGAUAUCAGGAGGAACACCGAUGGCGAAGGCAGGUCUCUGGGCAGUAACUGACGCUGAGGAGCGAAAGCAUGGGUAGCGAACAGG
rnacentral:rRNA from 1 species